AUACGGAGGGUGCAAGCGUUAAUCGGAAUUACUGGGCGUAAAGCGCGCGUAGGCGGCUUUGUAAGUCGGAUGUGACAGCCCUGGGCUUAACCUGGGAAUGGCAUUCGAUACUGCAGAGCUAGAGUAUGGUAGAGGGAAGUGGAAUUUCCGGUGUAGCGGUGAAAUGCGUAGAUAUCGGAAGGAACACCAGUGGCGAAGGCGACUUCCUGGGCCAAUACUGACGCUGAGGUGCGAAAGCGUGGGUAGCGAACGGGAUUAGAAACCCCAGUAGUCC
rnacentral:rRNA from 1 species